UGGGGAAUAUUGCACAAUGGGGGAAACCCUGAUGCAGCGACGCCGCGUGAGCGAUGAAGUAUUUCGGUAUGUAAAGCUUUAUCAGCAGGGAAGAUAAUGACGGUACCUGACUAAGAAGCUCCGGCUAAAUACGUGCCAGCAGCCGCGGUAAUACGUAUGGAGCAAGCGUUAUCCGGAAUUACUGGGUGUAAAGGGAGCGUAGGCGGUCCUGCAAGUCUGAUGUGAAAACCCGGGGCUCAACCCCGGGACUGCAUUGGAAACUGUAGGACUAGAGUGUCGGAGGGGUAAGUGGAAUUCCUAGUGUAGCGGUGAAAUGCGUAGAUAUUAGGAGGAACACCAGUGGCGAAGGCGGCUUACUGGACGACCACUGACGCUGAGGCUCGAAAGCGUGGGGAGCAAACAGG
rnacentral:rRNA from 1 species